AGCUCAACCGGAUAGAGCAUCGGUCUUCGGAACCGAGGGUUGCAGGUUCAACUCCUGUCCGGA
rnacentral:tRNA from 1 species